UUGCGUAGGUGGUUUAUUAAGUGAAUAGUGAAAGCUGGAGGCUCAACCUUACAGACUAUUAUUCAAACUGGUAAACUCGAGAAUGGUAGAGGUAACUGGAAUUUCUUGUGUAGGAGUGAAAUCCGUAGAUAUAAGAAGGAACACCAAUGGCGUAGGCAGGUUACUGGACCAUUUCUGACACUAAGGCACGAAAGCGUGGGGAGCGAAACC
rnacentral:rRNA from 1 species